rnacentral:rRNA from 1 species
GGGACUGAGACACGGCCCAGACUCCUACGGGAGGCAGCAUCACGGAAUAUUGCGCAAUGGACGGAAGUCUGACGCAGCGACGCCGCGUGGAUGAUGAAGGCCUUCGGGUUGUAAAAUCCUUUUCCGGGCGAUGAGGAAGGACACUAGCCUGGGAAUAAGCGUCGGCUAACUACUCUGCCAUCAGCCGCGGUAAGACGUAGGACGCGAGCGUUGUCCGGAUCUACUGGGGCGUAACGCGCCUGCAGGCGGUCAGGUAAGUCGGUUGUGAAAGCCCCGUGCUCAACGCGGGGAGCCCAAGCGAUACUGCGUGACUCGAGGCGGAAAGAGGCGAGUGGAAUUCCCGGCGUACCGGUAAAACGCGCAGAUAUCGGGAGGAACACCAGUGGCGAAGGCGGCUCCCUGGACCGCACAUGACGCUCAGAGGCGAAAGCUAGGGGAGCGAACAGGAUUAGAGACCAUGGUAGUCCUAGCCCUAAACGCUGGAUGCUAGAUGUAGGCCUGAUGAGGCUCUGUGCCGGAGCGAACGCGAUAAGCAUCCCGCCUGGGAACUACGGCCGCAAGGCUAAAACUCAAACGAAUUGACGGGGACCCGCACAAGCAGCGGAGCGUGUGGUUUAAUUCGAUGCUACACGAAGAACCUUACCUGGGUUUGACAUGCUGGUGGUACCGAACCGAAAGGGGAGGGACCAUUCGGGGAGCCAACACAGGUGCCGCAUGGCUGUCGUCAGCUCGAGCCGUGAGGUGUCGGGUUAAGUCCCGUAACGAGCGCAACCCUUGCUUUUAGUUAUACGUGUUUAAGGGGACUGCCGGCGUCAAGCCGGAGGAAGGUGGGGAUGACGUCAAGUCAGCAUGGCCUUGAUAUCCAGGGCUACUACUACACGCCUACUAUGGCCGGUACAAAGGGCUAGCCAAGCUCGCGAGCUGGAGCGAAUCCCAGCAAAGCCGGUCCACCAGUUCGGACUGCAGCCUGCAACCCGCCUGCAUGAAGUUGGAGUUGCUAG